CACGUAGGCACCAAGCGUUGUCCGGAUUUAUUGGGCGUAAAGAGCUCGUAGGCGGUUCAGUAAGUCGGGUGUGAAAACUCUGGGCUCAACCCAGAGACGCCACCCGAUACUGCUGUGACUUGAGUACGGUAGGGGAGUGGGGAAUUCCUGGUGUAGCGGUGAAAUGCGCAGAUAUCAGGAGGAACACCAGUGGCGAAGGCGGGUCUCUGGGCCGAUACUGACGCUGAGGAGCGAAAGCGUGGGGAGCGAACAGG
rnacentral:rRNA from 1 species